rnacentral:rRNA from 1 species
GACGAACGCUGGCGGCGUGCCUAACACAUGCAAGUCGAACGGAGAUUUCAGCAAUGAAAUCUUAGUGGCGAACGGGUGAGUAACGCGUAGACAACCUACCUUCUAGAUGGGGACAACACUGCGAAAGUGGUGCUAAUACCGAAUGUUGUAAUGAUCAUGCAUAUGGUUAUUACUAAAGAUGGCCUCUAUUUAUAAGCUAUCGCUAGAAGAUGGGUCUGCGUCUGAUUAGCUAGUUGGUGAGGUAAUGGCUCACCAAGGCGACGAUCAGUAGCCGGUCUGAGAGGAUGGACGGCCACACUGGGACUGAGACACGGCCCAGACUCCUACGGGUGGCAG